rnacentral:rRNA from 1 species
GACGAACGCUGGCGGCGUGCUUAACACAUGCAAGUCGAACGGAAAGGCCCUGCUUUUGUGGGGUGCUCGAGUGGCGAACGGGUGAGUAACACGUGAGUAACCUGCCCUUGACUUUGGGAUAACUUCAGGAAACUGGGGCUAAUACCGGAUAGGAGCUCCUGCUGCAUGGUGGGGGUUGGAAAGUUUCGGCGGUUGGGGAUGGACUCGCGGCUUAUCAGCUUGUUGGUGGGGUAGUGGCUUACCAAGGCUUUGACGGGUAGCCGGCCUGAGAGGGUGGCCGGCCACAUUGGGACUGGGAUACGGCCCAGACUCCUACGGGAGGCAGAAGUGGGGAAUAUUGCACAAUGGGCGGAAGCCUGAUGCAGCAACGCCGCGUGCGGGAUGACGGCCUUCGGGUUGUAAACCGCUUUCGCCUGUGACGAAGCGUGAGUGACGGUAAUGGGUAAAGAAGCACCGGCUAACUACGUG